CAAUUCAGACAUGAAAAGGGAAUCAGGUGCAAAACCUGAGCGGUCCCGCCGCCGUAAUGAGGAGUUAAGGCAAGGAUACCACUGGGAAAACCGGGAAGGUGCCAAAACGUUGAAUCAGAGCCGGAAUACUUGCCAUGAUCUAA
rnacentral:ncRNA from 1 species